rnacentral:rRNA from 1 species
GACGAACGCUGGCGGCGUGCUUAACACAUGCAAGUCGAACGGAAAGGCCCUGCUUUUGUGGGGUGCUCGAGUGGCGAACGGGUGAGUACCACGUGAGUAACCUGCCCUUGACUUUGGGAUAACUUCAGGAAACUGGGGCUAAUCCCGGAUAGGAGCUCCUGCUGCAUGGUGGGGGUUGGAAAGUUUCGGCGGUUGGGGAUGGACUCGCGGCUUAUCAGCUUGUUGGUUGGGUAGUGGCUUACCAAGGCUUUGACGGGUAGCCGGCCUGAGAGGGUGACCGGCCACAUUGGGACUGAGAUACGGCCCAGACUCCUACGGGAGGCAGCAGUGGGGAAUAUUGCACAAUGGGCGGAAGCCUGAUGCAGCAACGCCGCGUGCGGGAUGACGGCCUUCGGGUUGUAAACCGCUUUCGCCUGUGACGAAGCGUGAGUGACGGUAAUGGGUAAAGAAGCACCGGCUAACUACGU